UACGAAGGGUGCUAGCGUUGUUCGGAAUGACUGGGCGUAAAGGGUGCGUAGGCGGUUAGAUACGUCUGAUGUGAAAUCCCCGGGCUUAACCUGGGAGCUGCAUUGGAUACGGUCUGACUAGAGUCCGUGAGAGGAAGAUGGAAUUGUGUGUGUAGAGGUGAAAUUCGUAGAGAUACACAAGAACACCGGUGGCGAAGGCGAUCUUCUGGUACGGUACUGACGCUGAGGCACGAAAGCGUGGGGAGCAAACAGG
rnacentral:rRNA from 1 species